AGUGCGUGUGUUAUCCCGGUCCGUUGAUAAACAGCAUGCCCUGAUUAGGGGUUCAGCGCGUUCCCCAGCAGCUAGCAAGCGAAGCUGCAGGAGCUUUUCUCAAGCGACAAGCGGAGAAAUUCACUUCAAAGCUUGUUUCAGGGCACAAAAGGAAGCAAUCAGCAUGGAAGAAAUAUAUGUGGAUGAAUCUGAAAAGAUCGCUGAGUCUCUAAGGAAUUUGGAGAAGCUUAUUCGUGACGAAGAACUGCUGGACUGUCCCAAGGACGAAGUGUUCUUGCUGAAGUUCCUGCGUGCUCGAAAGUACGACGCUGACAAAGCGUUCAAGAUUGUUCAGAAAUACUUUAGGGCGAAGCAAAGCUACCCUGCAAUUUUCGAGGGUUUCACGCCGUCCGAAAUGCUCUACGACACCAUUUUCCGCGAAAACAAGCUCCUCGCUGUGUCCUCAAAACGGGAUUCGCUGGGGCGAGCCGUCAUGCUAGUCAAAACAGGAGCCUGGGACGCCUCCGUCUGCACGCUCGACGAAUUCACAAAAGCGUGUAUGAUUCUCGUCGAGUGGAUGCUCUUCGAUGAGGAAGUCCAAAAGCAUGGAGUCGUUUACGUGCUCGACUACAAGGGUCUCGGUCUGCACCACCUGACGCAGUACACGCCUUUCGCGAUUCAACGGCUGAUCCACGUUGCUCAGGACUGCUACCCUGUAAAAGUGAAAGCUGUUUACGUUGUCAACAGCCCGCCCAUAUUUGACAUAUUCUUCUCAAUUACAAAGACUUUCAUGAAAUCCAAACUAGUAGAAAGGGUUAAGCUCUUCGGUACUGAUUUGGAGAAACUUCACGACGUUGUUCCUGACGAUGUCAUCCCAGAAGAAGCAGGAGGAACACUGGAGAGCUACGACUACGACAAGCUGGAGAGGGACUUGCUGAGUCAGAGUGACUACUUCGAAGAAUUGAGCCGCUAUGGAUACGGCAAGGAAAGUACUCGCUGUUAGCCCAUCGGAAGCUUAUCAUGGUGCUGGGUGAGAAUGCUGUUCAAGUGCCUCAUGCACUUGCGGUUCCAAACCUUGCGGAUUGGGAAGGCACCAUGGUCGACGAAACACCAGAAAUCCGAAAAGAAUCCAUACAGCGCUUACAGAAACUUCUCAAAGGAGACACAUUGCUCAAGGAGCCUCAAGAUGAAAAGGUGCUCAUGAUGUUCCUUCGCUCUCGAAAGUACGACGUUAAGUCUACGUUUAGAACCAUGAAGAACUACUUUCGGGCUCGCAGAGAUAUCCCGGAGUUGUUCAGAAAUCUAACACCGGCAAAUAUUCCAUACAAGACUGUCUGCACGGACCAUAGGCUCAUGAUGGUUUCUAAAGAAAAGGAUCAUCUGGGAAGGUCAGUGGGGCUGCUGCGAAUAGGAGCAUGGAAAUCGAGCAUCUGUUCGCUCACAGACCUGACGAGAUGUCUGCUCGUCCUCACUGAGAGCCAUUUGACCGAAGAAGAAACGCAAAUCAAAGGUUUCGUGAGUGUCUUCGAUAUGGAAGGGCUGAGUCCGUACCACCUGGCACACCUGACCCCCCGCUACUUCAUGAAAAUACUUCACGUACUCCAGGACUGCCUACCGCUAAGGACGGAAAAAAUAUACGUCGUGAACAACCCGUCCAUAUUCGCUCUUUUAUUUGCUGUGGCGAAGCCGUUCUUGCAUAGGAAGCUCUUGAGCAGGAUCGAGCUGCUUGGUUACAACUUCAGCAAGCUUCUAGCCGUAGUACCAACCGACAUAAUACCGAAGAGACACGGGGGUACUCUUGAAGACUUUGACUACCACAGCCAAGAGGCAUUCAUAGAACGACGAAGCGCCUACUUUGAGCAGAUGGAUCGUUGCGGUUACUAAAUUCUAACGAACAAA
rnacentral:misc_RNA from 1 species